GGCCCAGCAACUCCUAUCCCUACCUCCUCGCGGUACCGGCCGGAAACUAUGAGCAACCUUAAGGAAGAUCGGGUAACCACCCCCGGUGGGAACUUUGAUCGUAGGCUGACAGGGAGGG
rnacentral:ribozyme from 1 species